rnacentral:rRNA from 1 species
AUUGAACGCUGGCGGCAGGCCUAAUACAUGCAAGUCGAGCGAGCGGCGGACGGGUGAGUAAUGUCUGGGAAACUGCCUGAUGGAGGGGGAUAACUACUGGAAACGACAGCUAAUACCGCAUACCAUCAGAUGUGCCCAGAUGGGAUUAGCUGGUAGGUGGGGUAACGGCCCACCUAGGCGACGAUCCCUAGCCGGUCUGAGAGGAUGACCAGCCACACUGGGACUGAGACACGGUCCAGACUCCUACGGGAGGCAGCAGUGGGGAAUAUUGCACAAUGGGCGCAAGCCUGAUGCAGCCAUGCCGCGUGUGUGAAGAAGGCCUUCGGGUUGUAAAGCACUUUCAGCGGAGAGGCGUUACCCGCAGAGGAAGCACCGGCUAACUCCGUGCCAGCAGCCGCGGUAAUUC